GAAUCUUGGGCAAUGGGCGAAAGCCUGACCCAGCGACGCCGCGUUGGGGAUGAAGCCCUUCGGGGUGUAUACCCAUGUUGUAGGGGACGAAGAAAGUGACGGUACCCUACGAGGAAGCCCCGGCUAACUACGUGCCAGCAGCCGCGGUAAGACGUAGGGGGCGAGCGUUGUCCGGAAUUAUUGGGCGUAAAGGGCGUGUAGGCGGCCUGGCAAGUCGGCUGUGAAAUCCCCCGGCUCAACCGGGGAGUGGCAGUCGAAACUGUUGGGCUUGAGUGCAGGAGAGGAGGGUGGAAUUCCUGGUGUAGCGGUGAAAUGCGUAGAUAUCAGGAGGAACACCGGUGGCGAAGGCGACCUUCUGGCCUGUUACUGACGCUGAGGCGCGAAAGCCAGGGGAGCGAACA
rnacentral:rRNA from 1 species